GUGUGCGUGUGAUCGAGCAGGAGAAAAGGGGAAGGGGUGUAAACCCUAACCCACAUGAAAUCAUCAAAUUGGAAAAGGAUUUGAGGGUUAAUUGGAUGCAUGAACCAAGAUUUAUGAUCACUCAAGCGUUCUUGACACCAAGAUAGGAAUCCCAAAUUGACAUGGACUCAAGUAUGGAAAGCUAACGGGUCAAGCGGAGGUGAGGAAGCAAGCAUGAACACUAACACUUAAGACGUAUGAAUAUAUGAAUGCACGAAGUAGGAUUUAUCGUCUAUGAAAAGAAUGGGACAGGUAUGCAUGUAUACAUGGUUUCAAUACGUUUGAGAAUGAGAACGUCAGACUCUUGUAGAAUUGAAGCCGAACCUUGAAGCCGAACUCGGAACAAAGGAAUCCGAGAGGAUAGUCGAAUGAAUCAAAGUUUAUGUUGUCGAAUGUUAUAUGAUUUUUAAUUUGCAUCAGAUUAUUGUUGUAUGACGUUGUCAAUGACUAAUGGUUAAGUUGUAUGUGUCGUCCACAGGUACUACACGGAUUUCUUCUGCUGCUAAGGAAGCGAAGCGGACGUAGAUCGAGUCAAGAGCAAGGAUUGUACGGAUAGAUCGGUCACAUAGUUGAAGUAUAUAAUGUCUAGAAAUCUAAAUUUUAGUAUGAAUGUUGUGAAUUCUUUUAUAGAACGUUUAACAUUUUUAGAAUUUGGAACCUUCGUGAAAGUAAUGUCGUUAAUAAGGAAAGAAAUUU
rnacentral:lncRNA from 1 species